GAUGAACGCUGGCGGCGUGCCUAAUACAUGCAAGUCGAGCGAGAUGUUAGCGCAUGAACCUUCGGGGGAUUAUGCUAACGGACAGCGGCGGACGGGUGAGUAACGCGUAGGCAACCUGCCCCUGACAGAGGGAUAGCCAUUGGAAACGAUGAUUAAAACCUCAUGACACCGUAGAAGCACAUGCUUCAUCGGUCAAAGAUUUAUCGGUCAGGGAUGGGCCUGCGUCUGAUUAACUAGUUGGUGAGGUAACGGCUCACCAAGGUGACGAUCAGUAGCCGACCUGAGAGGGUGAUCGGCCACAUUGGAACUGAGACACGGUCCAAACUUCUACGGAAGGCAGCAGUAGGGAAUCUUGCACAAUGGGCGAAAGCCUGAUGCAGCAACGCCGCGUGAAGGAUGAAGGCCUUCGGGUUGUAAACUUCUGUUCUAAGGGAAGAAACAAAUGACGGUACCUUAGGAGCAAGCCCCGGCUAACUACGUGCCAGCAGCCGCGGUAAUACGUAGGGGGCAAGCGUUAUCCGGAAUUAUUGGGCGUAAAGAGUGCGUAGGUGGUUACCUAAGCGCAAGGUUUAAUUUAGAGGCUCAACCUCUACUUGCCUUGCGAACUGGGCUACUUGAGUGCAGGAGGGGAAAGCGGAAUUCCUAGUGUAGCGGUGAAAUGCGUAGAUAUUAGGAGGAACACCAGCGACGAAGGCGGCUUUCUGGACUGUAACUGACACUGAGGCACGAAAGCGUGGGUAGCAAACAGG
rnacentral:rRNA from 1 species